rnacentral:rRNA from 1 species
GCUACGGGAGGCAGCAGUGAGGAAUAUUGGUCAAUGGACGGAAGUCUGAACCAGCCAUGCCGCGUGCAGGAAGACGGCUCUAUGAGUUGUAAACUUCUUUUAUAAAGGAAUAAAACGAGGCACGUGUGCCUUUUUGCAUGUACUUUAUGAAUAAGGAUCGGCUAACUCCGUGCCAGCAGCCGCGGUAAUACGGAGGAUCCGAGCGUUAUCCGGAUUUAUUGGGUUUAAAGGGAGCGUAGAUGGGUUGUUAAGUCAGUUGUGAAAGUUUGCGGCUCAACCGUAAAAUUGCAAUUGAUACUGGCAGUCUUGAGUACAGUUGAGGUAGGCGGAAUUCGUGGUGUAGCGGUGAAAUGCUUAGAUAUCACGAAGAACCCCGAUUGCGAAGGCAGCUUACUAAACUGUGACUGACAUUGAUGCUCGAAAGUGUGGGUAUCAAACAGGAUUAGAUACCCUAGUAGUC